rnacentral:tRNA from 1 species
GGCUCGGUAGCUUAGUUGGUAAUGCACUUGUCUAGCGAAUAAGGGUCGUGAGUUUCAAAUCUCACCUGAGCUG